CCUACGGGUGGCUGCAGUGGGGAAUAUUGCACAAUGGGCGCAAGCCUGAUGCAGCGACGCCGCGUGAGGGAUGACGGCCUUCGGGUUGUAAACCUCUUUCACCAGGGACGAAGCGUGAGUGACGGUACCUGGAGAAGAAGCACCGGCCAACUACGUGCCAGCAGCCGCGGUAAUACGUAGGGUGCGAGCGUUGUCCGGAAUUACUGGGCGUAAAGAGCUCGUAGGCGGUUUGUCGCGUCGUCUGUGAAAUUCUGCAACUCAAUUGCAGGCGUGCA
rnacentral:rRNA from 1 species